rnacentral:tRNA from 1 species
AGCGCGAUAGGGUAGUCAGGAGAUCCCGCAGGGCUCAUAACCCUGAGAUCGGUGGUUCGAAUCCACCUCGCGCUACCA